rnacentral:lncRNA from 1 species
GAACAUUAAUGGCAACUGUCAAGAACUUAUUCACCACCCCGGUUACUGUAAAAGCAGUAGCGGAGAUUGCUUUCCUUGCAGCAAAUCCAAAGAAACUGAUGAGCAGUCCAAACACACAGGAUAAUGAGACUGCAAUGAAGGCGACAGGGUUAAACAAUGUCCCUUCCUUUGAUCCCAUAGCAAUGAACACAUCAACAUACUCCCCAGUAAUAAUCCGAAGGCAACAGGGUUAAACAAUGUCCCUUCCUUUGAUCCCAUAGCAAUGAACACAUCAACAUACUCCCCAGUAAUAAUCCAAAAUAAAGGAGCCAUCAUCAAUGACAACAAAUUGUUGUAGAACACGAAACCCCAAGUAUUCAGCCCCAGAUUAGUUACCAUAUGUUUAAUAUAGACCAUCUCGGUUGUAAUGGUUACCAAGUACGCAAACGCCCAAGAAUAAGCAGUC